rnacentral:rRNA from 1 species
UACGUAGGAGGCAAGCGUUGUCCGGAGUUACUGGGCGUAAAGCGCACGCAGGCGGUUCAGUCAGUCUGUUGGGACAGGGCACGGCUCAACCGUGUCAGGCUUACGGAAACUGCUGAACUUGAGGGCUUCAAAGGGAUGGGGAAUUCCGGGUGGAGUGGUGAAAUGCGUAGAGAUCCGGAAGAACACCAAAGGCGAAGGCACCAUCCUGGGGAGUCACUGACGCUCGGGUGCGAAAGCCAGGGGAGCGAACGGG